rnacentral:lncRNA from 13 species
UCUGGAUUCUAAUCUUAUUUUUUCAAGUGGGGAACCGUUAAAUAAAGAAAGGAAGCUUCCAACAGGAUUAGAGAUUGUGUCCGAUCUAAGGCUGCAAAAAUUAGUAGAGGCAAUAAAGUAGCAAUUAGAGCUGCAUUCAGAAAAGUUGAAAAUUUUUCAAAAAGAAUGCGAAUACUGGGAGAAAAUGAAAGCUGCCGCAAAAUUUGAAGUGCAAGCAAUGAAAGCCGUAGUCUGGUGCACUAUUUGCAUAUUGCUCCGUAAUAAGAUCCUAGGUUGCUCGUUUUUUCUCUACACUUAAACCGUCAGUUUUUGCACUCUCUACAAUUCCAUUGACAUCUUCAAUGAUUGACAGUAAUAUCAUUUCUUCAGUAUCUGAUGGUAUCAAUUUUGGUGUGGCCUUUUUGGCAAAGUUGUUAUCCUAAACUGUAAAUUUUAUUAAUCACUAUAACCAAUAAAC